UUUCCCAUUAAUUUGCUGCUCUAGUCUGUCAGUGAUGGGAGUGGUUAUACGCAUGGGAUAAAAUAACAUUGGGCCAUUGUACAUGGAGAUGAAAUGUGUUUUGUUUUGUUUUUUUUGUCUCUCGUACAUGGUCUAGACAUUG